AGACGGGUGAGUAAUGCAUAGGAAUCUACCUAGUAGUAUGGGAUAGCCACUAGAAAUGGUGGGUAAUACUGUAUAAUCCCUGCGGGGGAAAGAUUUAUCGCUAUUAGAUGAGCCUAUGUUAGAUUAGCUACUUGGUAGGGUAAAGGCCUACCAAGGCAGUGAUCUAUAGCUGGUCUGAGAGGAUGAUCAGCCACACUGGAACUGAGAUACGGUCCAGACUCCUACGGGAGGCAGCAGUGGGGAAUAUUGACAAUGGGCGCAAGCCUGUUCCAGCUAUGCCGGGUGAGUGAGGAAGGCCUUAGGGUUGUAAAACUCUUUCAGUGGGGAAGAUAAUGACGGUACCCACAGAAGAAGUCCCGGCAAACUCCGUGCCAGCAGCCGCGGUAAUACGGAGGGGGCAAGCGUUGUUCGGAAUUAUUGGGCGUAAAGGGCAUGUAGGCGGUUCGGUAA
rnacentral:rRNA from 1 species